rnacentral:rRNA from 1 species
AGAGUUUGAUCAUGGCUCAGAUUGAACGCUGGCGGCAGGCCUAACACAUGCAGUCGAACGGUAACAGGAAGAAGCUUGCUUCUUUGCUGACGAGUGGCGGACGGGUGAGUAAUGUCUGGGAAACUGCCUGAUGGAGGGGGAUAACUACUGGAAACGGUAGCUAAUACCGCAUAACGUCGCAAGACCAAAGAGGGGGACCUUCGGGCCUCUUGCCAUCGGAUGUGCCCAGAUGGGAUUAGCUUGUUGGUGGGGUAACGGCUCACCAAGGCGACGAUCCCUAGCUGGUCUGAGAGGAUGACCAGCCACACUGGAACUGAGACACGGUCCAGACUCCUACGGGAGGCAGCAGUGGGGAAUAUUGCACAAUGGGCGCAAGCCUGAUGCAGCCAUGCCGCGUGUAUGAAGAAGGCCUUCGGGUUGUAAAGUACUUUCAGCGGGGAGGAAGGGAGUAAAGUUAAUACCUUUACUCAUUGACGUUACCCGCAGAAGAAGCACCGGCUAACUCCGUGCCAGCAGCCGCGGUAAUACGGAGGGUGCAAGCGUUAAUCGGAAUUACUGGCGUAAAGCGCACGCAGGCGGUUUGUUAAGUCAGAUGUGAAAUCCCCGGGCUCAACCUGGGAACUGCAUCUGAUACUGGCAAGCUUGAGUCUCGUAGAGGGGGGUAGAAUUCCAGGUGUAGCGGUGAAAUGCGUAGAGAUCUGGAGGAAUACCGGUGGCGAAGGCGGCCCCCUGGACGAAGACUGACGCUCAGGUGCGAAAGCGUGGGGAGCAAACAGGAUUAGAUACCCUGGUAGUCCACGCCGUAAACGAUGUCGACUUGGAGGUUGUGCCCUUGAGGCGUGGCUUCCGGAGCUAACGCGUUAAGUCGACCGCCUGGGGAGUACGGCCGCAAGGUUAAAACUCAAAUGAAUUGACGGGGGCCCGCACAAGCGGUGGAGCAUGUGGUUUAAUUCGAUGCAACGCGAAGAACCUUACCUGGUCUUGACAUCCACAGAACUUUCCAGAGAUGGAUUGGUGCCUUCGGGAACUGUGAGACAGGUGCUGCAUGGCUGUCGUCAGCUCGUGUUGUGAAAUGUUGGGUUAAGUCCCGCAACGAGCGCAACCCUUAUCCUUUGUUGCCAGCGGUCCGGCCGGGAACUCAAAGGAGACUGCCAGUGAUAAACUGGAGGAAGGUGGGGAUGACGUCAAGUCAUCAUGGCCCUUACGACCAGGGCUACACACGUGCUACAAUGGCGCAUACAAAGAGAAGCGACCUCGCGAGAGCAAGCGGACCUCAUAAAGUGCGUCGUAGUCCGGAUUGGAGUCUGCAACUCGACUCCAUGAAGUCGGAAUCGCUAGUAAUCGUGGAUCAGAAUGCCACGGUGAAUACGUUCCCGGGCCUUGUACACACCGCCCGUCACACCAUGGGAGUGGGUUGCAAAAGAAGUAGGUAGCUUAACCUUCGGGAGGGCGCUUACCACUUUGUGAUUCAUGACUGGGGUGAAGUCGUAACAAGGUAACCGUAGGGGAACCUGCGGUUGGAUCACCU